AGUGAACGCUGGCGGUAGGCCUAACACAUGCAAGUCGAACGGCAGCACAGUAAGAGCUUGCUCUUACGGGUGGCGAGUGGCGGACGGGUGAGGAAUACAUCGGAAUCUACUUUUUCGUGGGGGAUAACGUAGGGAAACUUACGCUAAUACCGCAUACGACCUACGGGUGAAAGCAGGGGAUCUUCGGACCUUGCGCGAUUGAAUGAGCCGAUGUCGGAUUAGCUAGUUGGCGGGGUAAAGGCCCACCAAGGCGACGAUCUGUAGCUGGUCUGAGAGGAUGAUCAGCCACACUGGAACUGAGACACGGUCCAGACUCCUACGGGAGGCAGCAGUGGGGAAUAUUGGACAAUGGGCGCGAGCCUGAUCCAGCCAUACCGCGUGGGUGAAGAAGGCCUUCGGGUUGUAAAGCCCUUUUGUUGGGAAAGAAAAGCAGCAGGUUAAUACCCCGCUGUUCUGACGGUACCCAAAGAAUAAGCACCGGCUAACUUCGUG
rnacentral:rRNA from 1 species